AAAUGAGUAGCUAAAAGGUUAAGCGUCAGUCUUAUAAACUGAAAAUUGCGGGUUCAAGUCCUGUCUCAAUUUU
rnacentral:tRNA from 1 species